UAACUGCAUUCUCUCUUCUAAUGGAGAGUCAUUAUGACUGAGUGGGAACAAAGGGUAGUUUUCACCUCUAAUUUUCCUGAAUAAUUUUAAAUUUCAACUUCUGGCACUAUUCACUGGUUACUACUGAUUAAAACUUACUAAGUAGCAAAGUGUUUUUCUUUGAUUGCUUUUUUGUUUCUUCUUAGUGUCUACCCAUGGCAUAAGGAGGUUCCCAAGGCUGGGGGUCAAAAUAGAUUGGUAGCCCCUGGCCGUCACCACAGCCACAGCAAUGCCAGAUCCGAGCUGCAUGUUUGACCUACUCCAGAGCUCAUGGCAAUGUGGGAUCCUUAACCCACCAAGCAAGGCCAGCUACCGAACCUGCAUCCUCAUGGAUACUAGUCAGAUUCAUUUCUGCAGAGCCAUGACAGAAACUCACUCAUUGCUAUCUUUUAAGUAUUACUAUCUCUGUGAAGAAACCAAAGUGACAAAUUAACACUAGAAGACCCACCUGCUGUGUAUGUAGCACAUGGAACUGUAUCCACUCACUUGUGAUAGAACGUUUUGAAAGAGAAUAGGAGAAAAAGAAUGUAUAUACAUGUAUGUCUGGGUCACUUUGCUGUAAGGAGAAAUAGAACAUUCUCAAUUAACUAUAAUAAAAAAUUUAAAAAUUAAAACCAUGAGACCUAGAAGUGAAAAAUAAUUGGAGAACAGAGACAGACAUAUCAUUGGGAUAUUACACUGUGUGAAGAGCCAGAUCAUUGAAUGAACUUUUUCUCUAACAAGACACAUUUUAAGGUAAGCAUAUUUAUCCACAGAUUAUCCUUAAAACAAGAAGAAGAGCAAAGAAAAAAGGCAGAUAUGUUAUCUGAAGAAAUUAGAGAGCAGUUAAGAAGAGAAGAAGAGCAAUGUAGUAAAGAAACUGAAUUGAAACAGCAACUUGAACUCACUCUUGAAGUACUACAAGGGGAACUGAAGACUGUGAGAAAUAAGGCAAACCAGGUAAAUUAAUCCUUGGUGAAAUUUUCACAUUUCUAACACCAUGUCACCAGUAUUAUUUAUCCUGUCCCUUUGAUUUAAUAUGUAUCAUUUAGGUCUGAAACAAAUAAAAUGUCAUCUCCUCCUAAAUAUGAACCCUGCCAUUUACAGCUAAAUUAUUCACUUGCACUUCUUGGCUUCUAAGAGCCCUGUAUAUAUUUUAUGAAUGGAGGAAUGCUAGGUAAAUUGAGCUUCCUCAUGAAAGUAAUGAUUGGCAUUUUGGGUCCAUUCAACAAAGUAAUAUUCUAAGCUGGUACAACCACUAUGGAGAACAGUAUGUAGGGACCUUAGAAAACUGUACAUAGAACAAUCAUAUGACCCAGCAAUCCCACUCAUGGGCAUAGAUCUACUUUGUCCUUUGCUUUUCUUUUUUUUUCUUUCUUGGCCGCCCAGCAGCAUAUGGAAUUCCCAGGCAACUCCAAGCCGCAUU
rnacentral:lncRNA from 1 species